UACGGAGGAUGCAAGCGUUAUCCGGAAUGAUUGGGCGUAAAGCGUCCGCAGGUGGCAAUGUAAGUCUGCUGUUAAAGAGUCUAGCUCAACUAGAUAAGAGCAGUGGAAACUACGUAGCUAGAGUACGUUCGGGGCAGAGGGAAUUCCUGGUGUAGCGGUGAAAUGCGUAGAGAUCAGGAAGAACACCAGUGGCGAAGGCGCUCUGCUAGGCCGUAACUGACACUGAGGGACGAAAGCUAGGGGAGCGAAUGGG
rnacentral:rRNA from 1 species